UUUAAAGAGAGUUUGAUCCUGGCUCAGGACGAACGCUGGCGGCGUGCCUAAUACAUGCAAGUCGAACGAACGGAGGAAGAGCUUGCUCUUCCAAAGUUAGUGGCGGACGGGUGAGUAACACGUGGGCAACCUGCCUGUAAGUUGGGGAUAACUCCGGGAAACCGGGGCUAAUACCGAAUGAUAAAGUGUGGCGCAUGCCACGCUUUUGAAAGAUGGUUUCGGCUAUCGCUUACAGAUGGGCCCGCGGUGCAUUAGCUAGUUGGUAGGGUAAUGGCCUACCAAGGCAACGAUGCAUAGCCGACCUGAGAGGGUGAUCGGCCACACUGGGACUGAGACACGGCCCAGACUCCUACGGGAGGCAGCAGUAGGGAAUCUUCCGCAAUGGACGAAAGUCUGACGGAGCAACGCCGCGUGUAUGAAGAAGGUUUUCGGAUCGUAAAGUACUGUUGUUAGAGAAGAACAAGGAUAAGAGUAACUGCUUGUCCCUUGACGGUAUCUAACCAGAAAGCCACGGCUAACUACGUGCCAGCAGCCGCGGUAAUACGUAGGUGGCAAGCGUUGUCCGGAUUUAUUGGGCGUAAAGCGCGCGCAGGCGGUCUUUUAAGUCUGAUGUGAAAGCCCCCGGCUUAACCGGGGAGGGUCAUUGGAAACUGGAAGACUGGAGUGCAGAAGAGGAGAGUGGAAUUCCACGUGUAGCGGUGAAAUGCGUAGAUAUGUGGAGGAACACCAGUGG
rnacentral:rRNA from 1 species